GAGGGUAUAGCUCAGUGAUAGAGUGUGUACUUACCAUGCAUGAGGUCCUGGGUUCAAUCUCCUGUACCUCUA
rnacentral:tRNA from 1 species